rnacentral:lncRNA from 1 species
UCUCCUCUCUCUCUGGGCACUUGUGGAGCAGAUGUGUCUCCUUCUCUCCCUACAGACAAAAUCUAUAAAGCCAUAACAUGUUUUUAAUGCAAUUCAGCUUUUUGAAAAAUGCAUAAUUGGAGAGUUCCAAAAUAAUUAGUUUAUUAUAGUGGGUCUGUAGAAAUGAACUUGCAUCUCAUUUACGAGCCAUUAGAUCCCAAGUUCCACAAGCCUGAUUGCUAUUAAUGUCACUGGCAUAUCAUUUAGCAUUCUUUAUAAAAAUGUGUCACAAUUGAGCUUCUCUCACUCCCAGCCCCCAAGGCGGGGGCAGGGCUGAGGUUUGGUGCUCAGAAUUCUUCCUGGGACGAGAUCUCCAGCGUGGGCUGUGCUAUCCCCGUCCCCACCCCAUGCAGCCUGGUGAGUCAUGUUGUGAGGUGCCCCUUCCCUGACAGCAUCUGACAUUCGUCCCAUUCCUUCCAGAAGCCGUUGUGCAAAAGAAAAAGCCAAAGCAUCACUAUGGCUUGGAAGUCCCACCUCAACUCAUGCUGAAGUUGGAGUGCCACUGCAGCGGGGCCCAGAAGGGGGACCUCUAGGAGGAAAUCAGGCCCACGAGGACUCUGCCCGCUUCCGAGGGUCAGUGCCUCGCUGCCAGCAUGGGCUGGUUAUUGAGAGUGCGACUGUUAGUGGAGUGAGCUUGGCCUCUGCCACAGCUGGAGGCUCUUGCCAGGUGCCCGUGCCCUGUUGUUGGACUUCCCAGCCUUCAGAACUGAGCCCAGUCGGUUUCUGCUCUUGAUAACUCCGUCUCAGGUGUCAUGGCGCCAGGAAAGGGACCAAGCCAUGCACAGAUGGGAAAAUGAGGAAGAAAGAGGGAAAAAUCCAGAAUGUGGCACAGUCCAAAGGGCUUGGCCAUUGUUCCAGGGUAAGAAUCCUUUGUACCUUUGUAGGAACGUCCUGAAUGUGUUUUAGAUAAUAGGAUAAGAUUGAAAUACCCGCUCAUUGUAGGUGUGGGGCGCUCCUUCCACGUGUCUGUUCAGGGCCCAGAGGGGGGAAGGAGGAGCAAGGCACCCAGUUCACUCAAGGCACCCAGUCUGGGAAAGAGGACGAGGAUCCUGGAACUUGAGGCAAUUGGUUCUUAAUAAUGAUUUUGUAGAAAAAACUUAAGGAGGAGCCAGAACCUGCUGCUGCCUGGAGUGCGGGGGGCUGUGCUCAGAGGAGGGCAGCACAGUCCUGGGAGGAGGUGGAGCAGAAGGAGCCCAGCAGCAGGACCAUGUGCCAGAGUCCCGCCUGCCAUCUGCCUGUCCCCACCACGGCCCAGCAGGGGCUGGGCAUCAGCAUUUAGCCAUCUUCUUUUCUCCUUGUCAGGAUGCCACCAAGAGGGUGGCAGGGAGGUGGCUGAACCUGUCCCCACAACAAGGUGGUCAGCUUGCCCUCUUUCUUGUGGGCAUGUGAAGAGUGAGAUAUCACUGCAGAGUGAGGGGGUUUGAUCUGCCUGGUCCUCAUAAAGGGGCAGGUUGGGCUUCGGGAUUUGUUGGUCUGGGCUGAACACACAGGAGAGAGAGGAGGUUCCCGUGUUUUGGAGAAGCAGGUUUCAGAGAUGAGAGAACUGGGUCAUCAUAAAGGAGGUCUGCUGGGUGCCCUGGAUGUGGGGCCAGAGUGAUUCCAGAGGCCAGCAGAUGGUUUGUUUGGAGGAACCCGAUGGUCUUCUCUCCCGUGACACCCGAGAUGGGCAGGAUCCCUGAGAGGCAUGCCGCAGGGACGCUUGGGGGCUGAAUCUUGAGCACCAUGGUGGAGGAUGCUCCAAGACAGGUGGGAUGUGCUCUGUCAGCUGCAAAAUCUUCUGGGCUGGGAAAUCCACGUGAACUUGAACCAGGAAGGUCCCAGAGUCAGCCAGGGAGGCAGGAGGUCAGAACCCGGGCUUGAGUCUUCUUCUUUGCCAUGCCCCUGGAGAACAGGAGGGCGGGUCUACCAAGGGCUGCCAUCACCAUGGACACUGUCUUGCCAACCUGACUCCAUCAGGAAAAGAAAACCAUAGAAGGCAUUUACUCUGAGCAUUGUGGUGUAGACUCCAUGGUGCAGACAGAUCUCUAAGGGAAGGUGGCUCCUGAGAUUCUAGUGGGAGGUGACCAGGGAACAGGGAACAUCUCUAGCCCAGGACACUAUUGGGGAAUGCUCAUUAUACUGGACUUUGUGUACUUAAAAAUUUUAAAUUUUCUCCAAGUGAUUUUUUUUUUUUUGAGAUGGGGUCUUACUGUGUUGUCCAGGCUGACUUGAACCCCUGGGCUCAAGGGAUCCUCCUGCCUCCAGAGUUGCUUUACCUUGAAUCAAUAACAACGGUUUAUGUGAAAACAAGUUAUUAAGCAUUAUAGUAUAUUUAAAGGAUAUUAGGAGUGAGAAUGAGGAGGAUGAGGAGACCAGGGGAGGAGAGAGCAGGCGUCACCUGCUGGUGUUGUCCCUUUGUGAAGACACAUGAUUUUGGAGUCCCUACUUUCCACAUCUGUAACACAAGCAGCGGGGUUGUGUUGUCUUCACUUCCCACAAAAUUCUACCCAGAAGCCCAGAUAACGCAACA